GUUUUCUAUGCGUAUGCUAGCUCCAUCCUGGUGUUGCAGUGGACUAGUUCCAUCGAUAGACAACAGAAGAUCAGAGCCCUGUUUCAGAAAGCAGGUUUAAACCUGAACUCUGGGUUGACUAACUCUGAGCUGUCAAACUCAAGAGUUUUCAGUUUCAGAACAGGUGAUAACAAUUAGUUCAAUCAACUCUGAGUUAAGUUAACCCUGAGUAAAGUACGCAUGAGGAGAUAAAAAGCCCUGGUCAAUAGAAUGCAGAUAACAUGAUUCAUCCUGGAAACAGGAGAGAAAAUGGCUCAAACCUCCUACUUCUCCCCAGUGGAGUUACAUAUUAAUGAAUGUGUAUGCGGAAUAUGAGUAUAUAUUUAAGAAAAAAACAAUACAGUAGCAGCAGAAAAAGAAUGUGAGCUGGUGUGGCAGAAAAUUGCUGACCGAGUCAAUGCAUUUGACCUCCAUUAUAGCCAAUACAAAAAAGGCUGAGGGACGAAAAACCGGUGGGGGCCCCCAAUCAGAACAGUAGGUGACCUAUUGCUGAAGGCGUCUCUGGAGGAAGCUCAUCUGACCCAACCACCCCCCAGAAAGGCCUACAUAAAAGAGCAAUUCUGUAAAUUACAAUGAGGAAGAGGGUCCAUCCACCUCCACGGUUCAACUUACCUCACUCCGUGUGAAACCACUGCAAGGUGUACUUAAGAGAAACAAAUUGAAAAAUGAAAUCUAGAAAUUGACCAAGGCUGCAGAAGCAAAAGAUAAAAAUAGAAAUACAACUGCUGGAAAAUCAGUUUUUAUGUUUGAACAACAUAAAAAAGAUUAACUACUGUCCUGCAUUUGUACUUGCAGAAAAUAAAGAAGACUUCAUGAAAA
ensembl:lncRNA